rnacentral:rRNA from 1 species
AUUGAACGCUGGCGGAAUGCUUUACACAUGCAAGUCGAACGGCAGCACGGACUUCGGUCUGGUGGCGAGUGGCGAACGGGUGAGUAAUGUAUCGGAACGUGCCCAGUCGUGGGGGAUAACGUAGUGAAAAUUACGCUAAUACCGCGUACGAUCUAUGGAUGAAAGCGGGGGAUCGCAAGACCUCGCGCGAUUGGAGCGGCCGAUAUCAGAUUAGGUAGUUGGUGGGGUAAAGGCCCACCAAGCCAACGAUCUGUAGCUGGUCUGAGAGGACGCCCAGCCACACUGGAACUGAGACACGGUCCAGACUCCUACGGGAGGCAGCAGUGGGGAAUUUUGGACAAUGGGCGAAAGCCUGAUCCAGCCAUUCCGCGUGCAGGAUGAAGGCCCUCGGGUUGUAAACUGCUUUUGUACAGAACGAAAAGGUUUCUACUAAUACUAGGAGCUCAUGACGGUACUGUAAGAAUAAGCACCGGCUAACUACGUGCCAGCAGCCGCCGUAA